ensembl:lncRNA
CUUCCUCCUUCCACCCCUCACCCCGCCCCACCCCGAUCCUGGGGGUCCUGGCCCAGAGGCUUUUUCCUACCCUAGCCUGGUCUCUUGAAAAACAGAGAAGGAAGAGGAGGUUUUCCCUUCCUUUUAGUCUCUUAAUGAUCCACCUUGUCCCUCUAGGUCCCCAAAGUCUCCUGCACCUCAGGCUCUGGGACCACCUGUGCUGGCUCUUGGUUCUGUGAUCUGUGGUAGACCCUUUGGGGUUCUCAUGCAAGAGGAGCAAGCUGACUCCAGAGAUGAGAUUUGAACCUCACAUGAGAAAGACUUUCAAAUGUGUUAGCUUCAGUGGCACACACCAGACUGGGCUUGAACCAUCCUCAGAGCAGCUGUGUGGAGCCCUGGACUUUCAGACUGUGUCUCACAGGAUGAAGCAGGCAGUGCCCAAGGCUGGCUGGAGGCUGUGUCCAUCCAUCCAAAUGGAGGAUUUCCAACCCAGGAGAGCAGCGUGCACUGGGAAUCUUAGAGCUGCCCCUGCAGCAGAGUAUAAAUGGGGACCUGCUGAGCUACUGUUGUUGUCUGCUUCCUGCAUCUCGGCUGUCAGGGGCUGUGCCUUGCUCCAGUGCAACACAGGAGAACUGAGUGAGUGACUUUGAAGACAGACAGAAGGGUCUUACUAAAAGCGCCUUACCAUUGCCUCUUUUGACCUUCAAGGAAACUUACUGCUGCCCUCAACUGCCAGAGUCAUGGGGCCUCCCUGCAGGGUUUUUUUUCCUAUUGUCUGACAACUGUUGUGACUUCCUCCCAACACAUCCCAGCAGAACCAAGUGUUCUCUACUCAGCAGCUAGGAUGUCACCCCCAACAUCUCUCACCACAAGUUGGAGCUUAUGUCAGCUUCGACUAAAAUUGCUUCUGGGUGUUUUUCUCUCUCCUCUGAGCUAUGUUUGAUGUUUCUCUAGCCUGGUAAAGCCUGCAGACAUCUCAAGGCUCAAGGAAAAUCAGUUUUCUAAAUGUUGC